GUCAAACUGGCAGAUAAGUGCGUCCGACUUAGGAUCGGGAAUAUGUAGACUCUACGUUUGACUC
rnacentral:tRNA from 1 species